CCAUUCCCGACUCGGGCAGCCGGAGGCUGAGUCAUCGCUGCGGCGCUGCUGGGAGAGCAGGCGAGCAGACUGAUGAAUAACAGGCCUCCUGGCUAAUGAAGUAAACUGGUGACUCUGCAGGAAUUUCAAGGGUCUUCAACUCCACAGAGUACAACCAGGCCUGAGCUCAAAAGGAGGACCAUCAGGCAAGGAGACUGAGCCACUGCAAGUUUACAGCUUUGAAAGCUACUUGAAAGAACAAUGCCAGUCCUGCUUCCACAGUAAAU